rnacentral:tRNA from 1 species
GUACCCGUAGAUCAAUUGGAUAGAUUGUCAGCCUCCGACGCUGAAGGUUGCGAGUUCGAGCCUCGCCGGGUACGCCA